rnacentral:rRNA from 1 species
UACGUAGGGUGCGAGCGUUAAUCGGAAUUACUGGGCGUAAAGCGUGCGCAGGCGGUUCGUUAAGUCAGCUGUGAAAGCCCCGGGCUCAACCUGGGAAUUGCGGUUGAAACUGGCGAACUAGAAUCUGGCAGAGGGGGGUGGAAUUCCACGUGUAGCAGGUGAAAUGCGUAGAGAUGUGGAGGAACACCGAUGGCGAAGGCAGCCCCCUGGGCUAAGAUUGACGCUCAGGCACGAAAGCGUGGGGAGCAAACAGG